rnacentral:lncRNA from 1 species
ACAACACAGGAGCUGCAGUGCACAAGGCAACAGCAUCCUUCAAGGUUCGCUUCUCUUACUGCCUGCCCUAGCUUAAAGGAAGAAGAAGCUCCAAGCAGCUGUGGAGAAGAAACAGGAUUACCAUCCAGUGAGGUUUGGAUAGAUUUCUCUAUUGAAAAUCAUGGGCCAGAUACAUUCUCAGCAACAAAGGAAGAUACAACCACAGAGAUUUUUCAAACUCAGCUGCUCAGUCAGAGUCCUAGUCAUGUCCAACAGGUUCAGCUUUCUUCAUCUAGAAUGCAUAAUUUCUGUCAAAUUUUAGAUACAGGAUCAAGCCAUUCUCUACUCAGUCCUCAAAAGAACACCAGCCAGGGUAAGCCUGCUUUGUAAAGCAGUCACAAUAUUUGACUCUUCUAGAAGUGUGGAAUUAUGGUGGAUUCUGUUGUUGUUCACUAAUUCUUUUACAUACUGCUCCUGGUGUUACAGCCCUGUGAUCAGAAUCUGAAUGAGUUACUUGAAGGGAAUUUCACGGUUGCCAGCAGAAGUAAGAAUUAAGAGAAAUGUCCAUAUAGCUGUCUGGUUUAAAUGCCUUCAUUGCAAAUACUUCUUCACUGUUUUUAAGUACUCCUGUAGAAUGCAAAUUCUGUUUUGACAUAGUCUAAAACUUAGCUGGGGCAGAUAAAAAUGUGUCUGAGAACUGUACACUCAUAUUCAUAUGCAAUUAAUCACAUACAGACUGCAGGAACAAGAAUGCAAUCACUGGAUUAAGGGAAGUGAUUUGUUCCCCUAAAUUUGACAUUUGUGAGGCCACUGUGUCCACCUUUGGACCCUCUUGUACAAAAGUGUGGCAAACUGGAGUCCAGUGGAGAGCCACUAAAUGGCUGGGGCAUGGGAACACAUUACACAAGAAGAGGUUUAGAGAACUGGGUUGUUCAGUGUAGAAAAGAGUAGGUGCGUGGUCUGAUUGGUGCUUUUUAACUCUCUGGUGAGGGAUUUUGGAGAAGACAGAACCAGACUCUUAGAGAUGCACAGUGAAAAGUGGCAAAUGGACACAAGCUGUGUCAAGAUACAUUCUGAGUAGGGAGUGAUAAGCACUGUGACAUUUCACCCACACGUCCCAUCCAGCCUAUGUUACAUCUAUUUUUAAACCAGUGUAUGAAGGCAAUGAACCAUCUUUAGUAGCUCACCAGAAAAAAUAAUACUUAAAAGGGCUUUCAAAAUGAAGAGUGGAUUAUAAGUGUAUUUAUUCACAACAGCAGUGCAUUGCAGGGACAAAGUAAUGUGCAUUGACAGACCUGUAGGACUGGAAUGGACAUAGUGCUGAGAUUCAUGAUUCUCGUGCUUUUUUUGUGAGGCUAGGACUGAAAUAGGAAGAGCAUUUCAGGCCAGG